rnacentral:lncRNA from 10 species
ACUUCCUCUGGGCAGGUUAACAAAUAGAAUUGUUGAAGACAUCAUAAAGGUCAGAUGAAUGGAGGAUGCAGGUCUCCCACUCUCCAGUUGUUGCAGAAGAGGUGUGCUUGGGCCAUGGUGCUCUGCUGGACGUGCUGUGGGACCCCAACUCCCCACACCACACCAAUGCUCCCUUCUUCCAAGCAAAUGCCAAAGCUGACUUAUCAGUGACGGCACAUCCACACUUCUGGGGAGCUGGGUCGUCUGACUGUAGGAGUUGCCUGUGAAUGCCUGCUGCCCAGAACCUGACGGUCUUGAGACCAGUGGGAUUUUACACAGGGGGGAAGACACCAUCCAUGUGGGAGGAUACUGAUCCCCAGCACAGUGCCACUGGCUGAGAAAGACUACAUGAGGACAUAACAAGAAGAUGGUCAUCUACACGCCAGGGAGAGAAUUCUUACCAGAAACCAGCUGUGAUGAACUUUAGUCUGAGACUUUCCAGCCUCCAACACUCUCAGAAAAUGCAUUUCUGGUCCUUAAAACCCCUAGUCAGUGAUAUUUGUUGUGGUAGUCUGAGCAGACUAAGAAAUCCACUCUUUUGCCCUUUGCUAACUUCUACAGUUUAAUGUAAAUGCCAGUUUAAUUGUAUCAACCAAAAAUUUCC